AGUGCCGUUGAUACUGUAGAGCUAGGAUUAGGUUGCUGUGGGCGGAAUGUGUGGUGUAGCGGUGAAAUGCUUAGAGAUCACACAGAAUAUCGAUUGCGAAGGCAGCUCACAAAGCCUAAAUUGACGCUGAGGCACGAAAGUGUGGGGAUCGAACAGGAUUAGAUACCCUGGUAGUCCACACUGUAAACGAUGAUAACUCGCUGUCGGCGAUAUACAGUCGGUGGCCAAGCGAAAGCGAUAAGUUAUCCACCUGGGGAGUACGACCGCAAGGUUGAAACUCAAAGGAAUUGACGGGGGCCCGCACAAGCGGAGGAACAUGUGGUUUAAUUCGAUGAUACGCGAGGAACCUUACCCGGGCUCGAACGGUGCAUGAAUGUCAGAGAGAUUUGACAGUCCUUCGGGACAUGUAUCGAGGUGCUGCAUGGUUGUCGUCAGCUCGUGCCGUGAGGUGUCGGCUUAAGUGCCAUAACGAGCGCAACCCUUGUUGACAGUUACCAUCAGGUAAAGCUGGGGACUCUGUCGAGACUGCCACCGUAAGGUGUGAGGAAGGGGGGGAUGACGUCAAAUCAGCACGGCCCUUAUGUCCGGGGCGACACACGUGUUACAAUGGGAGGUACAGAGGGCAGCUAUCCAGUGAUGGAGUGCAAAUCUCAAAAACCUUUCUCAGUUCGGAUUGGAGUCUGCAACUCGA
rnacentral:rRNA from 1 species